CAGAAUACGUCAUGCCAGUUUGAAAAUGGAACAAACGGAAUAAACCACGUUGAUGCCUACAGUUCCCAGAAAGAGUGAGAGAGCAGAAGAGGAGAGAUGAGAAGAAAAGAGAAGAGAGGCUGUAACCAAGAUUACUGACAUGGACAUUUUUGUGGAGUAUAAUGCGUCUGAACUGCAGAAGUAGCCAUGGUUGCUGACAACUUGACACCAGCUGGAUCCAGCUGGCUCACUUUUCACUGGGUGCUGUGUUCCAGCUCGGGAGCAGUAUGUACUGUUCAUCAAAGGGCCUCCUAACUGCUCUCCUUAGCCGAGCAUAAACCCAUCAUGUGGAUGCACCGUCACAAUUCACGCUGCAGAUCAGGACUAAGGGUCAUCUCAUUAAGAUGUAUUUGCAGAAGAUUGAUCCACAUCUAUGGUCUAUGUUUUACCACUAGAGGGGGCUGAAAAAGAUACCCCACAGGAAGGAUUUCCUGGGGAAACUGGGGAAAGGGUGAAUAAAAAAUCAGAAAAGGAAGCUGAAGUGUUAAGCUAAAUAAAUUUCACGUCAUUUACAAUCAUUCAUUUGAAACUGUGAAAUGAAGUCAUGAGUUGAGAGCCAUAGGCUAACAACCAUAAGCAAUUCAUGAAGCAUUGCUUCAAAAGCCUAAACCUAUAGGUUCUCCCACAGUAUAAUAUUAGAUAAGGAGACUAUGGACACCACAAGAAUAAACCUACAAAUCAUUGACUGCGAAUGAGCCAUGCUGACUCAUCGGUCACUUAUUAAGAGUCACUUGUCAAACCUCAAUUCACAGCACGUUAUUUGAAAAGAAUUCUACUGCUGUAUUUUAAAGUGUUUUACAACUGAUGCUAACAUUCUUUUUAGUUUGUCAUAUGUUUUAUGUGUGUCCCAGUGUAUGAAAUAUUACAUGAAAGGGGCCGUUUGUGUUCUGUGACAAGUGUUAAAACCUGGAAAUAAUUUAAAAACCUCUUUCAGUCAUAAUCAAUAAAACAGUGGAAUAGGUCCAAUAUUAUGAAAUUUCCUGUCUUUGACUUUUCAAAAUCAAUUUUUGUAAAAGCCUUUCAAAUGAAAAAUAAACCAGCUUCAAACA